UGAUCAGAAUGUUUUCACAGGAAGUAGCAUAUAUAAAAUUCUGUGGUGUGAUGUACAACAUAUUUAUUUUUGUUACGAAAAACUUCUAUCCACUUUUAUUUCAUUUAAAAGAUUGCAUUUAUACAGUUAUUAAAAAUAGAUUUAUAUAUUCUGGUCAAGUUGCCUGUGUGUUAUUGCCUCUUUGCGAGCUUGAUGCUGAUUCUGCCUCCAGUGAUGACUCUAUACCGAGAGCUUUGUACCAAGAGUAUGCGCAGAACCAAAAAUAAAGGCUGACUGCUAAUUAAAUAUUCUAAGAUGCAUAGAGUAGGACGAUAUGAGUGCGUUACGUUCAUCCAUAUAAAAAUAGCAGAGGUGUAAAUGAGUCGAAUAAUGAUCGUAACCAAAUACAAUAGGACUAAUAUUCUUUUGUUC